AGGACCGAGCGUUAUCCGGAUUUAUUGGUCUUUAAGGGAGCGUAGAUGGAUGUUUAAGUCAGUUGUGAAAGUUUGCGGCUCAACCGUAAAAUUGCAGUUGAUACUGGAUAUCUUGAGUGCAGUUGAGGCAGGCGGAAUUCGUGGUGUAGCGGUGAAAUGCUUAGAUAUCACGAAGAACUCCGAUUGCGAAGGCAGCCUGCUAAGCUGCAACUGACAUUGAGGCUCGAAAGUGUGGGUAUCAAACAGGAUUAGAUACCCUGGUAGUCCACACGGUAAACGAUGAAUACUCGCUGUUUGCGAUAUACUGCAAGCGGCCAAGCGAAAGCGUUAAGUAUUCCACCUGGGGAGUACGCCGGCAACGGUGAAACUCAAAGGAAUUGACGGGGGCCCGCACAAGCGGAGGAACAUGUGGUUUAAUUCGAUGAUACGCGAGGAACCUUACCCGGGCUUAAAUUGCAGAUGAAUUACGGUGAAAGCCGUAAGCCGCAAGGCAUCUGUGAAGGUGCUGCAUGGUUGUCGUCAGCUCGUGCCGUGAGGUGUCGGCUUAAGUGCCAUAACGAGCGCAACCCUUGUUGUCAGUUACUAACAGGAUUUGCUGAGGACUCUGACAAGACUGCCAUCGUAAGAUGUGAGGAAGGUGGGGAUGACGUCAAAUCAGCACGGCCCUUACGUCCGGGGCUACACACGUGUUACAAUGGGGGGUACAGAGGGCCGCUACCACGCGAGUGGAUGCCAAUCCCAAAAACCUCUCUCAGUUCGGACUGGAGUCUGCAACCCGACUCCACGAAGCUGGAUUCGCUAGUAAUCGCGCAUCAGCCACGGCGCGGUGAAUACGUUCCCGGGCCUUGUACACACCGCCCGU
rnacentral:rRNA from 1 species